UCACAGACAGAGCCCCCCCGGGUAUGGGGAAUCUGGAAGGUGGGUCACAGACAGAGCCCCCCCGAGGGUGGGGAAUCUGGAAGAGGAUUGAAAAUGUAGCUAAUUAAUUCCGCCGGAAUGAAUUCACUGGGAAUGAGCUCUGGAGAUAAGGGAAGAAGCAGAGCCAGUA